GAUGAACGCUGGCGGCGUGCCUAAUACAUGCGAGUCGAGCGAACAUACUAUGAGCUUUCUCCUUCGACGUUAGCGGCGGAAGGGUGAGUAGCACGUAGGUAACCCAUCUAUAAUACUGGGAGAACUUCGGGAAACCGGAGCGAAUACCGGAUAAUAUUGCGAACCGCAUGGUUCGAUAGUUAAAGAUGGCGUUGCUAUCACUUAUAGAUGUAGCUGCGCAGUAUUAGCUAGUUGGUAAGGUAAAGGCUUACCAAGGGCACGAUACGUAGCCGAACUGGGAGGGUGAUCGGCCACACUGGGACUGAGACACGGCCCAGACUCCUACGGGAGGCAGCAGUAGGGAAUCUUCCGCAAUGGGCGAAAGCCUGACGGAGCAACGCCGCGUGAGUGAAGAAGGUCUUCGGAUCGUAAAACUCUGUUAUUAGGGAAGAAAAAAAGUGUAAGAAACAGUGAAAGUCUUGACGGUACCUAAUCAGAAAGCCACGGCUAACUACGUG
rnacentral:rRNA from 1 species